AUUCCGUGAUGAGGACAUUUCCAUAGAAGGUCCUUAAAUCUCUCCCAUGCAUCCGAAACCGCUUCCAUCUUCUUCUUGUCGAAACGUCAUAAUUUCAUUUCUAAUUUU